rnacentral:rRNA from 2 species
CCAUAAACCGUGGCUCAGUUCAGAUCGUAGGCUGCAACUCGCCUACGUGAAGGAGGAAUCGCUAGUAAUCGCAGGUCAGCAUACUGCGGUGAAUACGUUCCCGGGCCUUGUACACACCGCCCGUCACACCAUGGAAGUUGGCCACGCCCGAAGCCGUUACUCCAACCCUUGUGGAGGAGGACGUCGAAGGUGGGGCUGAUGACUGGGGUGAAGUCGUAACAAGGUAUCCGUACCGGAAGGUGCGGAUGGAUCACCUCCUAA